AAGAUGAGGAAAUGCCAGACUUUUCUGAGAUGUCCUUUGCUGAGCAAGUAGAUAUCACCACUGCUGAUGCCGAGGACUUUGCCACCACAGAAGAAACCUCACUUCCUACACCCUCAGCUCCAAAUGAAGAUCCUCUGGAAACUCUGGCAGAGGCAGCUGUUCAAGUGGAUGCACCACCUUCCCAGGUUGAAGAGAAAGAGAAAAGUGAUGACAGUUGAUGGAAGAAGAUGUUGUCCCACCUGUUGCAUCACCUGAGCCAGCAUCCAUCCCAGACGAACUUGAAGACUCAGAAGAAGAGGAAUCCUCUGAGGAAGAAGAGCUAGACUUGGAUGGGAAGGAUUUGUCAACUCCGUUUGCGGUAAACAAU
rnacentral:lncRNA from 1 species